CACGGAGUUAGCCGGUGCUUCUUCUGCGGGUAACGUCAAUUGCUGUGGUUAUUAACCACAACACCUUCCUCCCCGCUGAAAGUACUUUACAACCCGAAGGCCUUCUUCAUACACGCGGCAUGGCUGCAUCAGGCUUGCGCCCAUUGUGCAAUAUUCCCCA
rnacentral:rRNA from 1 species